UUAGUCUUAAAAGUUCACUUUUUAGGUGUGUGUUUACAUGUUGGCGCAAUGAGACGUAAGGCGGUGGCUAGCAUGCUAGCUAGCCUAGCAUUAGCUGGUUGAAUAAACUUGUUUACUCUAUUUAAACUCUUUACUCGGCAGUACUUACAUAACAGGACAGAUAAAUGUAUCGCCAAUACCUCUCAGACUCUUGGAAUUCUUUAUGUUUUUGCUGUGACAAGAAGUCUUUUCACUGAAUUACUGCAGGAAUGUGUGAGCUCUGCUUGAACUUUGACCUGCAAGGACUCCUCCAAAAGUCUCACAAAUGACGUCACACAAUCACAGAUUUGGCUAUUUGGAUAUUCUGUUGCUUCAAGUUUAAUGAGUGGGACUAAAACACAUUUAUAAGAUCCGGACCACAUACAAGAAGGUAAAACAAGGUAAAUUGAUGGUAAAAGGUAAAUAGAAGGUGAUAGACGUCACUUAAAAAUAAAAUAAGUAAAGUAAAGCAAGUAAAUAAUGAAUAUAUAAGGUAAAAGAAGGAAUUAAAAGGUAAAAUAAGUAAAUAUAAGGUAAAUAUUGUUAAAAUACAUAAUUGAAAGUAACAGAAGUAUAUCGAAGAUAAAAUAAGGUAAUUAAAAGGGUUAAAAAGUUAUUUAAAAGGUUAAAAAAAAGUAGAUAAAAGAUCAAAUAAGAUAAGUGAAAGGUGCAAAUAGUAAAUCAAAAGUAAACUAGAAUAAAAUAGUAUGGACUUUAUUGUCAUAUUUGCAUAUAAUGAGAUUAAGGACUCCAACUUAACAAAUAUGGAAGAAAAAAUAAAUAAAACUAAGAUAAGUAGAAGGUAAAAUAAGGCAAUUAAAAGGAAAACAGUAAAUUAAAGGUAAAAAGAUAGAAGGUAAUAAAAGCUAAUUAUAAGAUACAAUUUGUUAAAAGGUAAAAGAAGGUAAAUAGAAGAUACAAGUAAGAAAUAAAAGGUAAAAGAAGGUCAAUAGAAGAUACAAAUAGUAAAUAAAAGGUAAAAGAAGGUAAAUAUAAGAUUAAGGCAGUAAAUAAAAGGUAAAAGUUGUAAAUAAAGGUAAAUAGAAAGAACAAGUUGUAAAUAAAAGGUGAAUAGAAGGUGAUUGACGUGACUUAAAAAUAAAAUAAGUAAAUAAUGAAUAUAGAAGGUAAAAGAAGGAAUUAAAAGGUAAAAUAAGUAAAUAUAAUAUAAAAUAAGGUAAAUAUUGGUAAAAUACAUAAUUAAAAGUAACAAGUAUAUGGAAGAUAAAAUAAGGUAAUUAAAAGGGUUAAAAAAGUAAUAAAAAGGUAAAAAAACAAGUAGAUUGAAGAUAAAAUAAGAUAAUUGAAAUGUGCAAAUAGUCAAUAAAAAGUAGACUACAAUAGAAUAGAAUGGACUUUAUUGUCAUUAUAUUUGCAGAUAACGAGAUUAAGGACUCCAACUUAACAAAUAUGGAAGAAAAAAUAAGUAAAACUAAGAUACGUAGAUGGUAAAAUAAGGCAAUUAAAAGGAAAACAGUAAAUUAAAGGUAAAAAGAUAGAAGGUAAUAAAAGCUAAUUAUAAGAUACAAUUUGUUAAAAGGUAAAAGAAGGUAAAUAGAAGAUACAAGUAAGAAAUAAAAGGUAAAAGAAGGUCAAUAGAAGAUACAAAUAGUAAAUAAAAGGUAAAAGAAGGUAAAUAUAAGAUUAAGGCAGUAAAUAAAAUGUAAAAGUUGUAAAUAAAGGUAAAUAGAAAGAACAAGUUGUAAAUAAAAGGUAAAUAGAAGGUGAUUGACGUCACUUAAAAAUAAAAUAAAGAAAAGUAAGUAAAAUAAUGAAUAUAGAAGGUACAAGAAGAAAUUAAAAGGUAAAAUAAGUAAAUACAAUAUAAAAUAAGGUAAAUAUUGGUAAAUUACGUAAUUAAAAGGAAAACAGUAAAUUAAAGGUAAAAGAAGAUAGAAGGUAAUAAAAGCUAAUUAUAAGAUAAAAUUUGUUAAAAGGUAAAAGAAGGUAAAUAGAAGAUACAAGUAAGAAAUAAAAGGUAAAAGAAGGUCACUAGAAGAUACAAGUAGUAAAUAAAAGGUAAAAGAAGGUCAAUAUAAGAUUAAGGCAGUAAAUAAAAGGUAAACGUUGUAAAUAAAGGUAAAUAGAAAGAACAAGUUGUAAAUAAAAGGUAAAUAGAAGGUGAUUGACGUCACUUAAAAAUAAAAUAAAGAAAAGUAAGUAAAAUAAUGAAUAUAGAAGGUACAAGAAGAAAUUAAAAGGUAAAAUAAGUAAAUACAAUAUAAAAUAAGGUAAAUAUUGGUAAAUUACGUAAUUAAAAGGAAAACAGUAAAUUAAAGGUAAAAGAUAGAAGGUAAUAAAAGCUAAUUAUAAGAUAACAUUUGUUAAAAGGUAAAAGAAGGUAAAUAGAAGAUACAAGUAAGAAAUAAAAGGUAAAAGAAGGUCACUAGAAGAUACAAGUAGUAAAUAAAAGGUAAAAGAAGGUAAAUAUAAGAUUAAGGCAGUAAAUAAAAGGUAAACGUUGUAAAUAAAGGUAAAUAGAAAGAACAAGUUGUAAAUAAAAGGUAAAUAGAAGGUGAUUGACGUCACUUAAAAAUAAAAUAAAGAAAAGUAAGUAAAAUAAUGAAUAUAGAAGGUACAAGAAGAAAUUAAAAGGUAAAAUAAGUAAAUACAAUAUAAAAUAAGGUAAAUAUUGGUAAAUUACGUAAUUAAAAGGUAAAAGUAAAAAGAAGAUAACAUAAGGUAAAAAAAAGGUAACACAAUUAAGAGGGAACAGAAGUAUAUCUAAAAUAAAAUAAGGUAAUUAAAAGGUAAAAAAAAGUAGAUAGAAGGUAAUUGAAAGGGGCAGAUAGUAAAUCAAAAGUAAACUAGAAUAGAAUAGAAUGGACUUUAUUGUCAUUAUAUUUGCAUAUAACGAGAUUAAGGACUUCAAUUUAAGGUGCGGUAGUGGAAACAAAUAUGGAAUAAAAAUAAAUAAAACUAAGAUAAGUAGGAGGUAAAAUAAGGCAAUUAAAAGGAAAACAUAGUAAAUUAAAGGUAAAAGAAGAUAGAAGGUAAUAAAAGCUAAUUAUAAGGUAAAAUGUGUUAAAUAAAAGGUAAAAGAAGGUAAAUAGAAGAUACAAGUAAGAAAUAAAAGGUAAAAGAAGGUAAAUAUAAGGUUAAGGCAGUAAAUAAAAGGUAAAAGUUGUAAAUAAAAGGUAAAUAGAAAGAACAAGUUGUAAAUAAAAGGUAAAUAGAAGAUAAAAUAAGGAAAAUAAAAAGUAAAAAAAAGUAGGUAGAAAAGUAAAUAGAGGAUAAAAAGGGUAAUUGAAAGGUGCAAGUAGUAAAUUAAAGGUAAUCUAUCCCUGCGAUGAGGUGGCGACUUGUCCCGGGUGUAACCCGCCUUCCGCCCAAUUGUAGCUGAGAUAGGCUCCAGCACCCUCCGCGACCCCAAAAGGGAGAAGCGGUAGAAAAUGGAUGGAUGGAUUAAAAGUAAACUAAGAUAAGUAAAAGGUAAUGAAAGGUAAGUAGAAGGUAAAAUAAGGCUUUUAAAGGUAAACAUAGUAAAUAAAAGGUAAAAGAAAAUAGAUAGAAGGUAAUAAAAGGUAAGUAUAUGGUGAAAUUGCUUAAAAGGUAAAAGAAGGUAAAUAAAAGAUAAAAGUA